rnacentral:rRNA from 1 species
CCUACGGGAGGCAGCAGUGAGGAAUAUUGGUCAAUGGGCGCGAGCCUGAACCAGCCAAGUAGCGUGAAGGAUGACUGCCCUACGGGUUGUAAACUUCUUUUAUCAAGGCAUAAAGUGAUGCACGUGUCCCUUUUUGUGUGUACUUUAUGAAUAAGGAUCGGCUAACUCCGUGCCAGCAGCCGCGGUAAUACGGAGGAUCCGAGCGUUAUCCGGAUUUAUUGGGUUUAAAGGGAGCGGAGAUGGGUUGUUAAGUCAGUUGUGAAAAGUUGCGGCGCAACCGUAAAAGUGCAAUUGAUACUGGCAGCCUUGAGUACAGUUGAGGUAGGCGGAAUUCGUGGUGUAGCGGUGAAAUGCUUAGAUAUCACGAAGAACUCCGAUUGCGAAGGCAGCCUACGAAACUGCCACUGACAUUGAUGCUCGAAAGUGUGGGUAUCAAACAGGAUUAGAUACCCCAGUAGUC